GUGUUGUAUGAUAGGAGAGACGGUUAGUACUCCACUUGAAAUAGCUACGUGACCUCCAACACACAUUCAGUUAAGGCACUGCCACCUACUUUGGGGCAUCUCUAACCAAGUUUUCUU
rnacentral:ncRNA from 1 species